AUUUCCCCAUGUCGGUCAACGCAGCUGCCGAAUCGAUUGCAUCUCGACCGACGCGAUUUCUUUCCAAAUAAGGCGUAGCAUCUCUUCCCUGAAUAAUAAUUGUUUCAGGAGCCGAGACAGCUACGUCUGGUUAACAGCCUAAUAAAGAUAGCUCAUGGUUGGUUAAAGCGGUUUCGUUGGACCUCUAUUGGGAGCUCUUGAUGGGUAGAUAGUACGAAAAUGCAGUCAGAGGAGAUCGAGAAGAUAUUGCGUCACCGAACUAAGUCAUUCGUUAAUGGGAAUUGCAUUCGCAUAAAAAAAUAUAGCAGUUGCGGUUGAUUGCGGUGAUCAGUCGUUUCCUCGAAAAGAAAUUCGUAACACCGAUAAACAGAGAAAGAGAUCUCGGUAACUCCAUUGAUCAUUGCAUAAGAUAGAAAAUCGAAUGGCCUGAAUUGAGAUAUCUAAUGAUACUAU
rnacentral:lncRNA from 1 species